UACGAAGGGGGCUAGCGUUGUUCGGAAUCACUAGGCGUAAAGCGCACGUAGGCGGAUCUUUAAGUCAGGGGUGAAAUCCCGAGGCUCAACCUCGGAACUGCCUUUGAUACUGGGGAUCUCGAGUCCGGGAGAGGUGAGUGGAACUGCGAGUGUAGAGGUGAAAUUCGUAGAUAUUCGCAAGAACACCAGUGGCGAAGGCGGCUCACUGGCCCGGAACUGACGCUGAGGUGCGAAAGCGUGGGGAGCAAACAGG
rnacentral:rRNA from 1 species